rnacentral:rRNA from 1 species
GACGAACGCUGGCGGCGUGCUUAACACAUGCAAGUCGAACGGAGUGGCGAACGGGUGAGUAACACGUGGGUGAUCUGCCUUUCACUUCGGGAUAAGCUCGGGAAACUGGGGCUAAUACCGGAUAGUGCAAGAUGAGCUCGCGGCCUAUCCGCUUGUUGGUGGGGUAAUGGCCUACCAAGGCGUCGACGGGUGGCCGGCCUGAGAGGGGGUACGGCGACAUUGGGACUGAGAUACGGGCCAGAAGCCAACGGGAGGGAGCGGUGGGGAGUAGGGCACAGUGGGGGGAAGCCAGAUGCAACGACGCCGGGGGGGGGAUGAAGGCCUUCGGGUUGUAAACUCCUUUCGACAGGGACGCGGUACCUGUAUAAGAAGCACCGGCUAACUACGUGCCAGCAGCCGCGGUAAUUC